AGCGGUGAAAGUUUGCAGCUUAACUGUAAAAAUGCCGUUGAAACUGUUAGACUUGAGUGUAAAUGAGGUAGGCGGAAUGCGUGGUGUAGCGGUGAAAUGCUUAGAUAUCACGCAGAACUCCGAUUGCGAAGGCAGCUUACCAAGCUACAACUGACACUGAAGCACGAAAGCGUGGGGAUCAAACAGGAUUAGAUACCCUGGUAGUCCACGCAGUAAACGAUGAUUACUAGCUGUUUGCGAUACACAGUAAGCGGCACAGCGAAAGCGUUAAGUAAUCCACCUGGGGAGUACGCCGGCAACGGUGAAACUCAAAGGAAUUGACGGGGGCCCGCACAAGCGGAGGAACAUGUGGUUUAAUUCGAUGAUACGCGAGGAACCUUACCCGGGUUUGAACGCAGAGAGACAGGGGUGGAAACAUCCUUUUCAGCAAUGACUGUCUGCGAGGUGCUGCAUGGUUGUCGUCAGCUCGUGCCGUGAGGUGUCGGCUUAAGUGCCAUAACGAGCGCAACCCUUAU
rnacentral:rRNA from 1 species